rnacentral:rRNA from 1 species
UACGUAGGGGGCUAGCGUUGUCCGGAAUCAUUGGGCGUAAAGAGCGUGUAGGCGGUCCGGUAAGUCCGCUGUGAAAGUCGGGGGCUCAACCCUCGAAUGCCGGUGGAUACUGUCGGGCUAGAGUGCGGAAGAGGCGAGUGGAAUUCCUGGUGUAGCGGUGAAAUGCGCAGAUAUCAGGAGGAACACCAACGGCGAAGGCAGCACUCUGGGACGUGACUGACGCUGAGACGCGAAAGCGUGGGGAGCAAACAGG